rnacentral:rRNA from 1 species
AUGGGAUCGAUUGGCAACAGGAUACCCGAAGUUGGUAUGCGGUUCAGAAAUUCGGAUGAGGCUUGGGAGUUCUGGGUGCAAUAUGGAGGUCACAUAGGCUUUGAUGUGAGGAAAAGAAAUACCAUCAUAAGCAGAAUUGAUGGAACAAUCACUUCAUGUAGGUUUGUUUGUUCCAAUGAAGGCAUUCGAAGGAAAAGUCAAAUAGAUCACGAGCUGAAGCGCAUUAGAGCUGAAACAAGAACCAAUUGUAAAGUUUGGAUGAUUGUUUCAUUUGAUCGAGUGACCAAUUUUUUUGAAGUCACCGAAGUUGAUUUGGAACACAAUCACCUCCUUCAAUUGCCACAAACCUGUCACUUGUUGGCAUCACAAAGGAAGAUUUCAGAUGUGCAAGCUUUGGAGAUAGAAAUAGUCGGUGAUUCUGGAAUUAUGCCAAAAGCUUCACAU